rnacentral:rRNA from 1 species
UACGUAGGGUGCAAGCGUUGUCCGGAAUUAUUGGGCGUAAAGAGCUCGUAGGCGGUCUGUCGCGUCGAAUGUGAAAAACCCGAGGCUCAACCUCGGGGCCCUGCAGUGGGUACGGGCAGACUAGAGUGCGGUAGGGGGAGAUUGGAAUUCCUGGUGUAGCGGUGGAAUGCGCAGAUAUCAGGAGGAACACCAAUGGCGAAGGCAGAUCUCUGGGCCGUAACUGACGCUGAGGAGCGAAAGCAUGGGGAGCGAACAGG